rnacentral:lncRNA from 1 species
ACGUCCCUGUCCUUCAUGAUAUGAUUGACUCUUCAUCAUCCAUCCCUUUUUCCUUCAGAUUCAAGCUCCAGCAGCUUGUUUUCAGCUGAUGAAUCUCUUAUCUUCCUUCUUUUCCAUCACUGCAUCUUGAACUAGUCCUUCCCUCUAUAGCUUUAUUAAUGUUAUCUCUCCCCUUUUUAAAUCGACGCUUCAAAAUAUGCCGUCAAUCAUUGCAUUAGAG